UAAUCAACCCCCCCGUAACUUGACAGAUGAGCUCAGUUUCGCGUACCUACUUGCAAAUCGCAGAUGUCGCUACUGUUCGUAAACAACGGGUCCUUCCUUCACUGACGCAACAAUUUUUGUCCAUGCGAAAACAUCUUUUUGUUUCGUGGUGAGUGGAAGCCAACAAGAGGCUAGCGCUUCGUAUCAAAAGGACGUAUUCAACAGACGUGCAAAAACUAAUGUUCAUUAAAUUGAAAUUAUUUUGAUUUUUCUUUUUGGUGUUGUAAAAAAUGUAAUAAAACACAUGUUUAAACGGUCUUCCAUAUUAAUUGGUGACUGUGCAUGCUAGACCAAACCGAAGAUCAAACUCGAAAAAAAAUCUGCAAAUGAUUAUUUUUAACUUCCAUUUUGGAUUGGCCACCAGAUAUGUAGCUGUAAAAUGUUAGCACAAGUAUCCUAAUUUAUUACUUGCUGGUGCUUAAUAACCGCGCUAGAAGAAAACACGAGUUUCUUAUUAAUUUUAUAAAAGCCGACUAUUUUGCCUUUACUUGUUUUAUAGAUAUAAUUUUCGCUUCUAGUAAACAAAUUCAUCAUGCCGCACUUAAUUUGCAUUUACCUACCACAAAAAAACGGAAACAACAAAUGUUUAAUGUGAAACGGGACGCCGUGUUAUUUUUCCUAUCUUGCCUCUCUUUCUAACAAUUUGCCUCGCGAUUUUGAAGAUGGUAAUCUCGAGUUCUAUCGCACUGAAGAUGCUGAAAAACAAUCAGCAUAUGCACUGCAAGUGAGCAUACACAGUUAUAGGUUUUUGUUGCCAAAUAUGUAGUAGAAUCUGAGAUUACCAUCUUAGUAGCAACAGAGCAAUGGCGGAUAUUUCCCCGACCGUCCCGUCCGCCCAUAAAGUUUCUCAAUUAAACCCCGGCUCUAAGCCGUUUUGGAAAUUGACAAAAAUUUUGAAAAAGCCUCAAUGAGGAAUAGGCUUCCCUGCGCUGAAAGAGAAUACAAAAUAUUAUUAACUAAUUCUGAAAAAGCACAGAAACUUGCCAAACAGUUUGAAAGUGCGCAUAAUUUCAGUAUAGGUCUCACUAGUCCAAAAGAACAUCAGGUUGCCCGCGAAUUCGAAAACAUUCUCAAUCAUGAGAACAUUUCGACAAUUCAUUGGGCACUGAUUUGGACGAAGUGAGAUCUAUUAUAAAGAAGUUUAAGAAUAUGAAAGCUCCAGGUGAUGACGGAAUUUUCUAUAUUCUCAUAAAAAAAACUUCCAGAAAGUUGCUUAUCAUUUUUUAACAAAUGUUUUCAGUUAGCAUAUUUUCCUGAAAAAUGGAAAAAUGCUAAAGUUGUUCCAAUUUCGAAGCCUGACAAAAAUCCUGCCGAAACUUCUAGUUAUCGUUCAAUUAGCUUAUUGUCAUCUAGCAGUAAACUUUUUGAAAAGCUUAUUUUAAAUAGAAUGAUGAUUGAUGAAAAUUCAAUUUUUGCCAAUGAGCAGUUCGGAUUCCGCCAUGGACAUUCGACUACUCAUCAACUUUUACGGGUAACGAAUUUCAUUCGUUCCAAUAAAUCUGAAGGUUACUCCACUGGUGUUGCACUUCUUGACAUAGAUAAAGCAUUCGAUAGUGUUUGGCACGGAGGCUUGAUCGUAAAAUUGAAACAUUUUAAUUUUCCACAAUAUAUUAUUAGAAUUAUUCAAAACUAUUUAUCAGAUCAAAUACUUCAGGUAAACUAUCAAAAUUCCAAGUCAGAUAGAUUACCUGUAAGAGCUGGUGUUAGGGCCCCUAUGUUUGGCCGACCACCGACUAGGUGGCGGUAGUGAGCAAACGUCAAACUCGAACAAAAACAAUGCGAGCGCCACGGUUGGGCAGUUGGCCAACUAUCAAAUUUUGAAAAAGACCGUUAAAUCGGUGUACGAUGUGAAUUAUCAGAGUGUUACGUCUGUUUGUCUGUGAUCUGAUCAUGAUCACUAGAUUUCCAUCCUUGCUCAUUCUCUUUGAUAUACUCAAGAAAGAGCGAGAUAGAAGAGGCAAAAUGCCCCCUCGUUUAUAUGUUUUUUUCUCGUGUUUGUUUACGAGAGUGAGUGAGAAAAAAAAGAAAAGUCGAUUGAUUGAUUGAUUUAUCUUUAUUAUAGAGACUUUCAGCCCAAAGAAAAGUUCCGCACACUAGAGUACGCAUAACUCCUUUAUGUUAUUUUAAGGUUAUUCUUUCAAACAGUAUCUUCUGGUAUUGAAGCUGUCAGUAAUGUUAUUGAAUUAUUUAUUCUUUCAACAAUGGCUUCUCUUUCAAUAUCCUUUACGAUAUAUAUAUAUAUAUAUAAACCAUCAUCAGAACAACCUAUUUAAAAAUAUGCUUUCGGGGUAAUGGCGUUCUGGGUAGUGGCCUAUUCGGGGUAGUGGCAUUCAGGGUAAUGACCCAUUGGGGGUAAUGGCUUUCGGGGUAAUGGCCUAUUCGGGGUAAUGACUUUCGGUGUAAUGGCGUUCGGGGUAAUGGCUUCGGGGUAGUGGCAUUCGGGGUAAUGAGGUAGAAUCAUUUCAUCUAGUAUGUAAAACUAAAACUGGGUUUUUAUCGAAUUAAAGCUAUUUUUUUACUGUUUUAGCCAAGAGUUAUUCCCAGAAGCAGCACAUAUCGGGUAACAUCGGGUGUUAUAGAUCACUUUAAGGAUCACUUUUUACAGGUUUUGUCGUCGAUUUUUCAAUUGAAACCGAUAUUACCACUUCAACUCUUAAAAAUUGGUAGGAAGAUGAAGUUCAUCAGUUAACCUUAUUAACUUUUAUUGUUAAUCAUUUCAGUAUAGUUUCAUGAAUACGGAAAGGUACCGUAAUGCGAUUGAACAUUGAUCAGUUUUCUAUCUUUUUUGAGUAAUUUCCUUGAACAAGCAAAUGUAACUUGUUUUUUAUUUUUGAAACAAGUACUGGCCCUAUAACUAUGUUUUCAGAAACUUGAAGAAGUAUUUUGAAAGUAUAGAAAAUGUUUAAAUAGACUUUUUAAUCCAAUUUUUGAUUUUGUUGAUUUGGGUAACAUUGAUAAUCUCAGUGAACAAUGUUCUGUUGUGUUGAAAACACCCUUACCUACUAAAUUCGGAGUCCCUGAUUUCGAAUAUGUAGCCCAAAUUCUUACAAGUUAUGUACUUCUAGAUUUUUUUUUCUGGAUUAAAAUCCUUUAAACCACGAAUAACGCCUAAACGAAGGCAAUUUCUUAAGGAAAGAAAAGGCUACUUUUAAUAAAUCAUAUUAUUGUUAUUAUUUUUUUUAAAGGAGGACUUUCCAUAAAGUUUUCGUUCUAGGUACUUUCUCCAGUAAAAAUACUAUGCAAUGUUGAAAAUCUGAUCACGGCAUGUUCCCAAAAGUAGUGUAUUUUGGGUUCAGGUUUAUUUCACACUUAUUUAAGAAUUAGGAGUUCGGUAACUUUUUUAACUGGGCCGCAACUGUAAAGUAUGGAAUUACCGGUUACACAGUAUUUUUGUUUGAAAAGAAAACGAACUUCAGUGAAUUGUUUUUCAUUUUACUGAGUUCGGUAAUUCGAGUCACUUAUUACCCGGUUAUAUUCAUAUUUUACUGAAAAAUGGAAAAAGUCAGUAAAGGUAACUACCGACUUUCAGUAAUCGUUGCUCUUGUACUGAGUUUUCGCCAAUGUCAAAUGAAAACAAACAAUUGCUCUCACGAGCUGCUGUCACAUAUCCAUUCACCAUUGAUUUUGCAGCAGCAGCGGAUUAUGCAGCAGGAAGCUCGAUCUUUUUGUCACUCCACCAACUCCCAGGUAAGGAAUGCGAAUUGGCGGAAACAGUAAUUGUCCAGGACUAGAUCAACACAGAUGCAGACUGUUAGGUUUUUCCCGUCUGAUUCAAAGACAGUUUUUCGUACUCAUUUCAGCAACAUCGCGUGUCUAGUUUUAUGCAAUCGCUUUUGCAAGUCCGUCGCAGAUCCUGUGAUACCCGCCCAAGGGUUGGCGAAGAUUCGGAAAAAAAGACGAGCCUUAUCCCGUAUUCAUGAAAUUUCUGUAAUGCAUUCAGAAAUGGGGGAAUAAUGCAAACAAAAUGCGGGAGAAUGUGAGGUGUGGGUGGAAAACUGAGGAACUCGGUAAUCGGGUGUAAACAAACCAUUAACUGAGUCAGUAAAUUUCUCCAACAUAAAUUACUGACUAACUCAGUUUUUUUUUUUGACAGAAGAUAAACUUUUCAGUUUACAGACUCUUCGGUAAUGAAAGAAUUACCGAAAAGUCAGCAGUUCAAACACCCAGUAAAAUUUAACCGAAGUCGGUAAUCUAAACUAGAAAGCAUGAGGAAAUUUUAAAUUAUCGCAUAAAACCAAUUUUAUUGCUAAAUACUUUCUGGUGCCAAAGAACAAAAUUUCAAAA